GGGGGCGAAACGGCUUCGACGGGGAUAAAGAAGCUUUGGUUGCAUACCGAGUUCCCGCCUACUCGUAAAACGGUGUGGACUAAACGUAAUCGCAGACGAUUAUGAAUAUGCUCUAGCCGCUUAAAAGGCUAGCGUCCUGCCGGCUUUUUCCUGCGGACCCGGCAAGGGCGUCGACUUGCGGGAUAGCCAUUUCUGACAUCCUGUGUCAGAAUCGGUGAAACUUUUACAGGAUAGUCUUUCAAGUAUCGUGCCUGGAGGAGACUUGAAAGGCGAAUGCUAAAAUCCGGGCUAAGUAUGUAGAUGCCUGAGUGGAAUAUUUUCGGACGCGGGUUCGACUCCCGCCGCCUCCACCA
rnacentral:tmRNA from 1 species